GACGGUCCGACGGUGUCCUACCAUGACUACAUCAUCGUCGGUGGGGGAACUGCCGGCUGCCCUUUGGCCGCCACCCUUUCGCGCAGCUUCGACGUGCUGGUGCUGGAACGAGGAGGAUCUCCCUACGGCAACAGCAACAUAUCCAACCUGGCGACCUUUGUCCGCAACCUGGCCGACCUCACUCCGACCUCCCCCACCCAACGCUUCGUCUCCGAGGACGGGGUCAUCAACGCGCGAGCCCGUGUCCUCGGCGGCGGGACCUGCAUCAACGCCGGGUUCUACUCCCGCGCCAGCGCCCGGGAGGUGAGAGAGAUGGGCUGGGACG
rnacentral:lncRNA from 1 species